AGGACUGUAUCAAAUGCGAACAGUACCUGCUUGUUUUUUUGUUUACACAAUUAUAGUCUGCCUUGAUCCGUAGGGACAGGGACGGAAGA
rnacentral:ncRNA from 1 species